UACGUAGGGUGCGAGCGUUGUCCGGAAUUAUUGGGCGUAAAGAGCUCGUAGGCGGCCUGUCGCGUCGGAUGUGAAAGCCCGGGGCUUAACCCCGGGCGUGCAGUGGAUACGGGCUGGCUGGAGGCAGGCAGGGGAGAACGGAAUUCCCGGUGUAGCGGUGAAAUGCGCAGAUAUCGGGAGGAACACCGGUGGCGAAGGCGGUUCUCUGGGCCUGACCUGACGCUGAGGAGCGAAAGCGUGGGGAGCGAACAGG
rnacentral:rRNA from 1 species